rnacentral:pre_miRNA from 1 species
CGUGCACCGGUGGGGUCCCUCGGCCUGGCCUGUGCCCUCUCGCAAUCCGGAACCCCUCAGGGGAUGUUGGAGAGCCAGUUUUGGUCGAUCCCGCAGGCCAGGCCGAGGGACCCCACUGGUGCAUG